AAUCCAGUAAACAUUUUGCUGUGGAAAUUUUUAUCUGACCUGGGGUGUUGGGAAGGAAGGUUUGGCCCUUGUGCACUACUAGCGUCUAACUUAUAUUUACUUAUUCUUGUAUAUGUAUUUUAUCACCACAGCAAAAUAAUUGUUGUAUUUUGUGUCAUACAAAUUAAGUUUUUUGCCCUCAAAGUUGUCUUUUAUGGAGCUGUGUGAUUUAAAUUGGUAAUCCAAUUUUCCCAUUAUGAUUUAUAAAAUCCAGUAAACAUUUUGCUGUGGAAAUUUUUAUCUGACCUGGGGUGUUGGGAAGGAAGGUUUGGCCCUUGUGCACUACUAGCGUCUAACUUAUAUUUACUUAUUCUUGUAUAUGUAUUUUAUCACCACAGCAAAAUAAUUGUUGUAUUUUGUGUCAUACAAAUUAAGUUUUUUGCCCUCAAAGUUGUCUUUUAUGGAGCUGUGUGAUUUAAAUUGGUAAUCCAAUUUUCCCAUUAUGAUUUAUAAAAUCCAGUAAACAUUUUGCUGUGGAAAUUUUUAUCUGACCUGGGGUGUUGGGAAGGAAGGUUUGGCCCUUGUGCACUACUAGCGUCUAACUUAUAUUUACUUAUUCUUGUAUAUGUAUUUUAUCACCACAGCAAAAUAAUUGUUGUAUUUUGUGUCAUACAAAUUAAGUUUUUUGCCCUCAAAGUUGUCUUUUAUGGAGCUGUGUGAUUUAAAUUGGUAAUCCAAUUUUCCCAUUAUGAUUUAUAAAAUCCAGUAAACAUUUUGCUGUGGAAAUUUUUAUCUGACCUGGGGUGUUGGGAAGGAAGGUUUGGCCCUUGUGCACUACUAGCGUCUAACUUAUAUUUACUUAUUCUUGUAUAUGUAUUUUAUCACCACAGCAAAAUAAUUGUUGUAUUUUGUGUCAUACAAAUUAAGUUUUUUGCCCUCAAAGUUGUCUUUUAUGGAGCUGUGUGAUUUAAAUUGGUAAUCCAAUUUUCCCAUUAUGAUUUAUAAAAUCCAGUAAACAUUUUGCUGUGGAAAUUUUUAUCUGACCUGGGGUGUUGGGAAGGAAGGUUUGGCCCUUGUGCACUACUAGCGUCUAACUUAUAUUUACUUAUUCUUGUAUAUGUAUUUUAUCACCACAGCAAAAUAAUUGUUGUAUUUUGUGUCAUACAAAUUAAGUUUUUUGCCCUCAAAGUUGUCUUUUAUGGAGCUGUGUGAUUUAAAUUGGUAAUCCAAUUUUCCCAUUAUGAUUUAUAAAAUCCAGUAAACAUUUUGCUGUGGAAAUUUUUAUCUGACCUGGGGUGUUGGGAAGGAAGGUUUGGCCCUUGUGCACUACUAGCGUCUAACUUAUAUUUACUUAUUCUUGUAUAUGUAUUUUAUCACCACAGCAAAAUAAUUGUUGUAUUUUGUGUCAUACAAAUUAAGUUUUUUGCCCUCAAAGUUGUCUUUUAUGGAGCUGUGUGAUUUAAAUUGGUAAUCCAAUUUUCCCAUUAUGAUUUAUAAAAUCCAGUAAACAUUUUGCUGUGGAAAUUUUUAUCUGACCUGGGGUGUUGGGAAGGAAGGUUUGGCCCUUGUGCACUACUAGCGUCUAACUUAUAUUUACUUAUUCUUGUAUAUGUAUUUUAUCACCACAGCAAAAUAAUUGUUGUAUUUUGUGUCAUACAAAUUAAGUUUUUUGCCCUCAAAGUUGUCUUUUAUGGAGCUGUGUGAUUUAAAUUGGUAAUCCAAUUUUCCCAUUAUGAUUUAUAAAAUCCAGUAAACAUUUUGCUGUGGAAAUUUUUAUCUGACCUGGGGUGUUGGGAAGGAAGGUUUGGCCCUUGUGCACUACUAGCGUCUAACUUAUAUUUACUUAUUCUUGUAUAUGUAUUUUAUCACCACAGCAAAAUAAUUGUUGUAUUUUGUGUCAUACAAAUUAAGUUUUUUGCCCUCAAAGUUGUCUUUUAUGGAGCUGUGUGAUUUAAAUUGGUAAUCCAAUUUUCCCAUUAUGAUUUAUAAAAUCCAGUAAACAUUUUGCUGUGGAAAUUUUUAUCUGACCUGGGGUGUUGGGAAGGAAGUAAACAUUUUGCUGUGGAAAUUUUUAUCUGACCUGGCGGGUGGUGGAAGGAAAGCUUGGUCCUUGUGCGCUUCUAGCAUCCAACUUAUAUUUACUAUUCUUGUAUAGGUAUUUUUAUCACCACAACGAAAUAAUUGUUGUAUUUUGUGUCA